AUUGAACGCUGGCGGCAUGCCUUACACAUGCAAGUCGAACGGUAACGCGGGGCAACCUGGCGACGAGUGGCGCACGGGUGAGUAAUGUAUCGGAACGUGCCCAGUUGUGGGGGAUAACUGCUCGAAAGAGCAGCUAAUACCGCAUACGACCUGAUGGGUAAAGCGUGGGAUCGCAAGACCUCGCGCAAUUGGACCGGCCGAUAUCGGAUUAGGUAGUUGGUGGGGUAAAGGCUCACCAGGCCAACGAUCUGUAGCUGGUCUGAGAGGACGACCAGCCACACUGGGACUGAGACACGGCCAAGACUCCUACGGGAGGCAGCAGUGGGGAAUUUUGGACAAUGGACGCAAGUCUGAUCCAGCCAUGCCGCGUGCGGGAAGAAGGCCUUCGGGUUGUAAACCGCUUUUGUCAGGGAAGAAACGCUAUGGGUUAAUAACUCGGGGUAAUGACGGUACCUGAAGAAUAAGCACCGGCUAACUACGUGCCAGCCGCCGCCGUAAGAC
rnacentral:rRNA from 1 species